GCUCAGUAACACGUACUGCUCAGUAACACGUGGACAACCUGCCCUUAGGUUGGGUAUAAACCCGGGAAACUGGGUAUAAUACCCGAUAGGUCUCGAUUGCUGGAAUGCAUCGAGAUUUAAAGCUCCGGCGCCUAAGGAUGGGUCUGCGGCCUAUCAGGUAGUAGUGGGUGUAGCGUACCUACUAGCCUACGACGGGUACGGGUUGUGAGAGCAAGAGCCCGGAGAUGGAUUCUGAGACACGAAUCCAGGCCCUACGGGGUGCAGCAGGCGCGAAAACUUUACAAUGCUGGCAACAGCGAUAAGGGAACCUCGAGUGCCAGGUUACAAAUCUGGCUGUCGAGAUGCCUAAAAAGCAUUUCAUAGCAAGGGCCGGGCAAGACCGGUGCCAGCAGCCGCGGUAAU
rnacentral:rRNA from 1 species